UCCAGGUGAGCUCAGUUGGUAGAGCGCACUACUGAAAAUGGAGCGGUCCCUGGUUCAAUACCAGGAGCAGGCG
rnacentral:tRNA from 1 species